AAUGAGUCAGUGUGUCCAAACGUUUGACUGAUACUGGACGUUCUCUUCUUCUGGUUGAUUAUGCCAUGUGAGUUGAGCUCUUCUCCAACACCAUCCGUCCAUGAUGAGCCUGUCCUGCACUGAAGCCUCUGAACACCUCAAGCCUGUCCUGCACUGAAGUCAAGCCGUUGAACAUCUCAACCCGUGCCUCAUACCCUCCUUUUAUCACUGCUGUGAUCCCUUCCCAACACUGCGCUGGAGGUGCUGGAUGGACAGGGCGUGUGGGGGUUAGACAUGCGCAACACAAACUUCUGGAUGGUGUUGCGCGAUGGCGCCUUGAUGCGCGAACUGCGGCGAUUGUGAUACUUCUGGAACAAGCUCUCCACCUGGACGACGUGGAGACAAUGAUACAGUUAGAUGCUGAUCUUGGGUCAGUUUAGCAUUUCCCCCACUUGUGAUUAAGGCUAGGAUUGGGGCAGAGGAAGAUGAUCCUAGAUCUGUCCUUAGGGAAACAUCACCCCGGAGCCAGUUUACCAUAGAGGUCAACCUUAACCAUCAUGAAGUAUCUACGUAUAUCUAACGUGCAAGUCACUGAAAGUUAUCCUCAAUGUAAAUGGACAUAUGUGACCCGAUUCAGGAAACUAGACGUAUGUCACAAGUCAUGACUUCACACAAGAGCCGUUUGUUAUUUUGUUUUUAUCAAAAUGCAUUUUUUGGGCAGAAAUGCCUUCUCGAACAUGUGAACUUUCAUGUGCCGUAAUAACAAACUUG